rnacentral:rRNA from 1 species
CUACGGGGUGCAGCAGUGAGGAAUAUUGGUCAAUGGGCGCGAGCCUGAACCAGCCAUCCCGCGUGCAGGGUGACGGCCCUAUGGGUUGUAAACUGCUUUUCUAUGCCAAGAAACCUGAUUACGUGUAAUCAGUUGCCGGUAGCAUAGGAAUAAGCAUCGGCUAACUCCGUGCCAGCAGCCGCGGUAAUACGGAGGAUGCAAGCGUUAUCCGGAUUCAUUGGGUUUAAAGGGUGCGCAGGUGGGCUUGUAAGUCAGUGGUGAAAUGCUGCCGCUUAACGGUAGAACGGCCAUUGGUACUGGAGUCUUGAGUAUGGUUGAGGUAGGCGGAAUGUGUUGUGUAGCGGUGAAAUGCAUAGAUAUGACACAGAACGCCAAUUGCGAAGGCAGCUUACUAAGCCAUUACUGACGCUGAGGCACGAAAGCGUGGGGAGCGAACAGGAUUAGAUACCCUAGUAGUC